GAUGAAGGUUUUCGGAUCGUAAAACUCUGUUGUUAGGGAAAAACAAGUACCGUUCAAAUAGGGCGGUACCUUGACGGUACCUAACCAAAAAGCCACGGCUAACUACGUGCCACCACCCGCGGUAAUACUUAGGUGGCAAGCGUUGUCCGGAAUUAUUGGGCGUAAAGCGCGCGCAGGCGGUUUCUUAAUUCUGAUGUGAAAGCCCCCGGCUCAACCGGGGAGGGUCAUUGGAAACUGGGGAACUUGAGUGCAGAAAAGGAAAGUGGAAUUCCACGUGUAGCGGUGAAAUGCUUAGAGAUGUGAAGGAACACCAGUGCCAAAGGCAACUCUCUGGUCUGUAACUGACGCUAAGGCGCG
rnacentral:rRNA from 1 species